ensembl:misc_RNA Metazoa_SRP Metazoan signal recognition particle RNA
GCCAGGCGUGGUGGCGCAUGCCUGUAGUCCCAGAUACUUGGGAGGCUGAGGUGGGAGGAUCACUUGAGCCCAGGAGUUCUGGGCUGUGGUGCGCUAUGCCGAUUGGCUGUCUGCACUAAGUUCGGCAUCAAUAUGGUGACCUCCCAGGAGUGGGGGACCACCAGGUUGCCUAAGGAGGGGUGAACUGGCCCAGGUCGGAAACGGAGCAGGUCAAAACUCCCGUGCUGAUCAGUAGUGGGAUCACGCCUGUGAAUAGCCAAAUGUAACAAAGCAAGAUCCCGUCUCUG